UACGGAGGGUGCAAGCGUUAUCCGGAUUCACUGGGUUUAAAGGGUGCGUAGGCGGGCAGGUAAGUCCGUGGUGAAAUCUCUGAGCUUAACUCAGAAACUGCCAUGGAUACUAUUUGUCUUGAAUAUUGUGGAGGUAAGCGGAAUAUGUCAUGUAGCGGUGAAAUGCUUAGAUAUGACAUAGAACACCAAUUGCGAAGGCAGCUUACUACACAGUUAUUGACGCUGAGGCACGAAAGCGUGGGAAUCAAACAGG
rnacentral:rRNA from 1 species